UGCAAAGACCCAGAUAAUGUGCCAUCACGCUCAGCCACUCUUCUGCGUGUAGCCUGGGCCCGCGUGGUUCUAGAUGAAGCUCACAACAUCAAAAAUCCAAAAGUGCAGACGUCCAUGGCGGUCUGCCAGCUGAGGGCCCACGCUCGCUGGGCUGUCACGGGCACACCCAUCCAGAACAACCUGCUGGACAUGUACUCGCUGCUCAAGUUUCUGCGUUGUUCUCCAUUCGAUGAAUACAAACUCUGGAA